rnacentral:tRNA from 1 species
GGAGGAGUCGCAUAGCGGCCUAGUGCAGCGGAUUGCUAAUCCGCGCCCUGUAAGGGGCUCGUGGGUUCGAAUCCCACCUCCUCCG